UCCUUCCAUAUUCAUUAAUGUGGCCGCUAUACCUUAUAUUACAUUUACCUCUGAGUUUCUCCUAAUCAAUGGUAAGAAUAAGAUCAUUAUAUUUGAUAAAUAACAUCAAUAAAGAGUAAAAGAUAUCUUUUUAUUUAAUGGUGCUCUUUUGGCAAAGUGGAGAUGCAAUCUCUUCCAUUCAAACUCUUGUCUAUGGAGAUCGAUCCUAGACUCAAAAUAUGGGGGUGGAGAAACCUUGCUGGGAAAGUAGAGAGGUGUGGAGAGUUUAUUUGGUGGAGGUACCUUAGAAAAGUUUGUGGGCGGAGGAGUAGUAAUUGGUUU
rnacentral:lncRNA from 1 species